rnacentral:rRNA from 1 species
GAUGAACGCUGGCGGCGUGCCUAAUACAUGCAAGUCGAGCGAACAGAUGAGGAGCUUGCUCCUCUGACGUUAGCGGCGGACGGGUGAGUAACACGUGGAUAACCUACCUAUAAGACUGGGAUAACUUCGGGAAACCGGAGCUAAUACCGGAUAAUAUAUUGAACCGCAUGGUUCAAUAGUGAAAGACGGUUUUGCUGUCACUUAUAGAUGGAUCCGCGCCGCAUUAGCUAGUUGGUAAGGUAACGGCUUACCAAGGCAACGAUGCGUAGCCGACCUGAGAGCGUGAUCGACCAGACUGGAACUGAGGCACGGUCCAGACUCCUACGGGAGGCAGCAGUAGGGAAUCUUCCGCAAUGGGCGAAAGCCUGACGGAGCAACGCCGCGUGAGUGAUGAAGGUCUUCGGAUCGUAAAACUCUGUUAUUAGGGAAGAACAAAUGUGUAAGUAACUAUGCACGUCUUGACGGUACCUAAUCAGAAAGCCCCGGCUAACUACGUG